ACAGCAGUCGCCGCGGGAACACGGAGGGGGCUAGCGUUGUUCGGAAUUACUGGGCGUAAAGCGUGCGUAGGCGGUGAGUUAAGUCUGCUGUGAAAUCCCCGGGCUCAACCUGGGAAUGGCAAUGGAUACUGGCAAGCUAGAGUGUGUCAGAGGAUGGUGGAAUUCCCGGUGUAGCGGUGAAAUGCGUAGAGAUCGGGAGGAACAUCAGUGGCGAAGGCGGCCAUCUGGGACAACACUGACGCUGAGGCACGAAAGCGUGGGGAGCAAACAGGAUUAGAUACCCGAGUAGUCCCUGUCUCUUAUAC
rnacentral:rRNA from 1 species